rnacentral:ncRNA from 1 species
UAAAUUGAGAGUUUGAUCCUGGCUCAGGACGAACGCUGGCGGCGUGCCUAACACAUGCAAGUCGAGCGAUGAAGCCCUUCGGGGUGGAUUAGCGGCGGACGGGUGAGUAACACGUGGGUAACCUGCCUCAAAGAGGGGGAUAGCCUCCCGAAAGGGAGAUUAAUACCGCAUAACAUUAGUUUUUCGCAUGAAGGACUAAUUAAAGGAGUAAUCCGCUUUGAGAUGGACCCGCGGCGCAUUAGCUAGUUGGUGAGGUAAAGGCUCACCAAGGCGACGAUGCGUAGCCGACCUGAGAGGGUGAUCGGCCACAUUGGAACUGAGACACGGUCCAGACUCCUACGGGAGGCAGCAGUGGGGAAUAUUGCACAAUGGGCGAAAGCCUGAUGCAGCAACGCCGCGUGAGUGAUGAAGGCCUUCGGGUUGUAAAGCUCUGUCUUUUGGGACGAUA